rnacentral:rRNA from 1 species
UACGUAGGGGGCUAGCGUUAUCCGGAUUUACUGGGCGUAAAGGGUGCGUAGGCGGUCUUUCAAGUCAGGAGUGAAAGGCUACGGCUCAGCCGUAGUAAGCUCUUGAAACUGUAAGACUUGAGUGCAGGAGAGGAGAGUGGAAUUCCUAGUGUAGCGGUGAAAUGCGUAGAUAUUAGGAGGAACACCAGUUGCGAAGGCGGCUCUCUGGACUGUAACCGACGCUGAGGCACGAAAGCGUGGGGAGCAAACAGGAUUAGAUACCCCCGUAGUCCCUGA